rnacentral:rRNA from 1 species
UACGUAGGAGGCAAGCGUUGUCCGGAAUUACUGGGCGUAAAGCGCGUGUAGGUGGUGGGACAAGUCUGCUGUGAAAGCGCCUGGCUUAACCGGGCGAGGUCGGCGGAAACUGUCCGACUAGAGGACGGUAGAGGGGGGUGGAAUUCCCGGUGUAGUGGUGAAAUGCGUAGAGAUCGGGAGGAACACCUGUGGCGAAGGCGGCCCCCUGGGCCCGGCCCUGACACUGAGACGCGAAGGCGUGGGGAGCGAACGGGG